rnacentral:rRNA from 1 species
GAACCAACAGGGAUUGCCCUAGUAACGGCGAGUGAAGCGGCAACAGCUCAAAUUUGAAAUCUGGCUUCGGCCCGAGUUGUAAUUUGCAGAGGAAGCUUUAGGCGCGGCACCUUCUGAGUCCCCUGGAACGGGGCGCCAUAGAGGGUGAGAGCCCCGUAUAGUUGGAUGCCUAGCCUGUGUAAAGCUCCUUCGACGAGUCGAGUAGUUUGGGAAUGCUGCUCAAAAUGGGAGGUAAAUUUCUUCUAAAGCUAAAUACCGGCCAGAGACCGAUAGCGCACAAGUAGAGUGAUCGAAAGAUGAAAAGCACUUUGAAAAGAGGGUUAAAUAGCACGUGAAAUUGUUGAAAGGGAAGCGCUUGUGACCAGACUUGCGCCGGGCUGAUCAUCCGGUGUUCUCACCGGUGCACUCUGCCCGGCUCAGGCCAGCAUCGGUUCUCGCGGGGGGAUAAAGGCCCUGGGAAUGUAGCUCCUCCGGGAGUGUUAUAGCCCGGGGUGUAAUACCCUCGCGGGGACCGAGGUUCGCGCAUCUGCAAGGAUGCUGGCGUAAUGGUCAUCAGCGACCCGUCUUGAAACACGGACCAAGGAGUCAAGGUUUUGCGCGAGUGUUUGGGUGUAAAACCCGCACGCGUAAUGAAAGUGAACGUAGGUGAGAGCUUCGGCGCAUCAUCGACCGAUCCUGAUGUAUUCGGAUGGAUUUGAGUAGGAGCGUUAAGCCUUGGACCCGAAAGAUGGUGAACUAUGCUUGGAUAGGGUGAAGCCAGAGGAAACUCUGGUGGAGGCUCGCAGCGGUUCUGACGUGCAAAUCGAUCGUCAAAUCUGAGCAUGGGGGCGAAAGA